CCUACGGGAGGCAGCAGUGAGGAAUAUUGGUCAAUGGGCGGAAGCCUGAACCAGCCAAGUCGCGUGCGGGAUGACUGCCCUACGGGUUGUAAACCGCUUUUACACGGGGAUAACACCUUCCACUUGUGGAGGUAUGCAGGUACCGUGUGAAUAAGCGUCGGCUAAUUCCGUGCCAGCAGCCGCGGUAAUACGGAGGACCCGAGCGUUAUCCGGAUUCAUUGGGUUUAAAGGGUGCGUAGGCGGGCUUUCAAGUUAGCUGUUAAAUGUCGGGGCUUAACCUCGAGUCGCAAUUAAUACUGGAAGACUUGAGUUCAGAAGAGGUAGGCGGAAUAAGUGGAGUAGCGGUGAAAUGCUUAGAUAUCACGAAGAACCCCGAUAGCGAAGGCAGC
rnacentral:rRNA from 1 species